CGGACGGGUGAGUAACACGUGGAUAACCUACCUAUAAGACUGGGAUAACUUCGGGAAACCGGAGCUAAUACCGGAUAAUAUUUUGAACCGCAUGGUUCAAAAGUGAAAGACGGUCUUGCUGUCACUUAUAGAUGAAUCCGCGCUGCAUUAGCUAGUUGGUAAGGUAACGGCUUACCAAGGCAACGAUGCAUAGCCGACCUGAGAGGGUGAUCGGCCACACUGGAACUGAGACACGGUCCAG
rnacentral:rRNA from 1 species